ensembl:misc_RNA Metazoa_SRP Metazoan signal recognition particle RNA
ACUGGGUGUGGUGGCACGUGCCUGUAGUCCCAGUUAGUCGGGAGGCUGAGGUGGGAGGAUCGCUUGAGCCCAGGAGGUCUGGGCUGUAGUGCACUAUGCUGAGCGGGUGACUGCACCAAGUUUGGCAACAAUAUGGUGACCUCCUAGGAGCCGGGGACCACCAGGUUGCCUAAGGAGGGGUGAACCAGCCCAGGUCAGAAACAGAGUAGGUCAAAACUCCCGUGCUGAUCAGUAGUGAGAUCAUGCCUGUGAACAGCCACUGCACUCCAGCCUGGGCAACACUGAGACCCCAUCUCUA